GUUCCUUUAGGGACUUCCAAUAAAUUUGGAACGAUAAAGAGAAGUUUAGCAUGACCCUUGUGCAAGGAUGACAUGCAAAAAAGAGUUAGAUAUCU
rnacentral:snRNA from 1 species